UGGCUCACUCUGGCAGCAUAAAUACUAAAAUUGGAAUGAUACAGAGAAGAUUAGCAUGGCCCCUAUGCAAGAAUAGCAUCCAAGUUUGUAGAGCAAUCUAUAUUUUU